UUAUUUUGUCCUGAGAAUAUCUGACAGCCACAAGAAAGUGAAGCAGAAGGCGCUGGACGUGCUGGCAGAAAUCAUAGGCCUCCUGGAAGAUGCCCUGGGCCCGGUGAUCAUCCGUUUGGUGGAAGGAAUAACAAAGAACCUGAACUCAAAGGAUCCCGGGGUUCAUGCUGCAGCUGUGAAAGCACUGGAAGGAUCCAUUGCUCAUUUAGAUAAAGUAUCACUGAUGAAAGAGUUCAGCCACUAAUGGAGUCAACUGAGUGGCCAAGCUCUGCUGGAUGUCACAGAGCGUAUCACAGAGCUUGUGGAAUGGGUUUAUGCCAGGAGUCCUGAAGUCGUCCAGCGCUACGCCCUGCCCGUGCUCUGGUCCUUCCUGGAGAACAAGGCGCUGCCUGUCUGAAGCGCCAACGUCUGCACGGUGGCCACCAAGCUUGCCAAUGCCCUCUAUGAGGUGAUGGGCACCAAGCUGAUGAAGUGUGCAGCCAGCAAGCCUCCACACGUGCAGCAGAACCUCUCCAACAUUUUGGGCUGGUGAAGGCAGGAUAUUCUCCAGAAAGCUGACCAAGUGCUGAGUUGGACACCUCCGGAUUUGACUUCUUAGCUGUGCCAAAAAUGACAAAACACUAAGGAAGGGUGUGCUUCGGCCCCCGCUCGCUCCAUCGCCCUUCCUAGUCGUGGCAUGGGGGGCCUGAAGCAACUCCAGACUGAGGACAAGGUGAAGGCCAAGCGUGGCUCAGCCUCACACUGAGAUCUGACUGGCUACAGUCGUACCAAGAAGCUGCCGCCUGCCUGAAGAGUGUUUGAAGAAUAGGAUUUAUGCGCUAGUUUUCAUAGUUACAGAUGUACAUAUGUUCUGACCUUUAGAUGUAGUUUUGAAUAAAUGUGUUUUGAUUGUAUCUUUAAAUUUU